AACAAAAGCAGGGUAGGGCUCCAGCUAAGCCACGUAGGCACUACGAUGGGCAACAGAAAGGUUGGUUUCUGGGCAAUUCAGAGAAACCAAGGACAGCUACCCCCAGAACUCAGAGUAGCCAACUGGGCUGCUCACAGGAGAUGCCUUAACUGAAAGGUGAUCAGACUCCACAGGAGACCCAGAGAAGAUGUGGAGGGAGCUCAGAGGCUGUCCUGGAGGAGACGUGGAGACAGCUCAGAGGCUGUCCCAGAGAAGACGUGGAAAGAGCUCAGAGGCUGUCCCAGAGAAGACGUGGAGAGCUCAGAGGAUGUCCCAGAGAAGACGUGGAGAGAGUUCAGAGGCUGUCCCGGAGAAGACGUGGAAAGAGCUCAGAAACUCAGAGACUGUCCCGGAGAAGACAUGGAAACAGCUCAGAGGCUGUCUGCAAGAAGACGUGCAGAGAGUUCAGAGGCUGUCCCGGAGAAGACAUGGAGAGAGCUCAAAGGCUGUCCACAAGAAGAUGUGGAGAGAGUUCAGAGGCUGUCGUUACUGCUGCACUUGGCUGUUUUUCUUUGGAUAAUUAUUGCAAUCAAUUUUAGUAAUUCAGGUGUUAAAUCACAGUCAAGCACCUAUUUACCUAGUGGUAAAAUCCUUAAGUAAGUCAUAUUUGGUUGGGAAGAUCAAAGAAAUCACCCAGUCUCCCACAUCCGAAAUUGUGCAGUCCGGACUGUCAGGAACAAAAGUGAAAGAGAGACGUCAUCAAGGCCGGGCGCGGUGGCUCAUGCCUGUAAUCCCAGCACUUUGGAAGGCCAAGGAGGGCGGAUCAUGAGGUCAGGAGUUCAAGACCAGCCUGGCCAAUAUGGUGAAACCCUGUCUCUACUAAAAAUAAAAAAAUUAGCCAGGCGUGGUGGCAGGCACCUGUAAUCCCAGCUACUUGGGAGGCUGAGGCAGAAGAAUCACUUGAACCUGAGAGGCAGAGGUUGCAAUAAGCCAAGAUUGUGCCAUUGCACUCCAGCCUGGGAGACAAAGCGAGACUCCAUCUCAAAAAAAAAAAAAAAAAAAAGAAUGACUAAAAUUAAGAAGAUUGAUGAUUCCAAAUAUUGGUAAAGAUGUAGAACAACUAGAACUCCCACAUAUUGCUGAUGAAAAUGAAGAAUAAUACAUUACUUUGGAAAAUACUUUGGUACUGAUUUACCAUAUGACCCCAAAAUCUCACUUGUAGAAAUUUAUACAGGAAAAAUGAAAACAUAUGCUCACAGAAAGCUUGUAUACACAUGCUUAUGGCAAUAAAUUUAUUUAUAGUUGCCUAUCAACAAGUGAUGAACAAAUAUAUUUUAGUAUCUUGAUACUACUUUCCAGCUAGAAAAGGAAUACUACUAAGCAAAAAUAGAGGAUGAAGUAGUAAUAUACAUAACAUAUAUGAAUUUAAAAACACCAUGCUGAUUGAAAGAAAACAAUUAUCAAAUACACAGUGUAAUAUUCUAUUCACAGAAAGUUUGAAAACAAAAAACUAUAGUCUCUGAAAGAAAACCAUUGGUUGCAGGAAGGUGGGGAUUCAUUGGCCACAAAAGGGACUGAGGAAACUUUUUAUGGGUAAUGGAAAUAUUUUAUAUCUUGAUGGUGGCACCAAUUAUACAACUGUAUGUACACAUUUGUCAAAAUUCUAAUCGUAUUAUACACAACAUGAGUGACUUUAACUGUCUAUAAAUUAUAUCUCAAUAAAAUUGGUCUUAAAAGAU
ensembl:lncRNA FAM74A6 family with sequence similarity 74 member A6